rnacentral:rRNA from 1 species
GCUUACGGCCGUACCACCCUGUCUGUGCCUGAUCUUGGAAGCUAAGCAGGGUCGGGCCUGGUUAAUACUUGGAUGGGAGACCGCCUGGGAUUACCCUAGUGCUGUAAGCU